ensembl:lncRNA
CAGGAAUUUAUUUUGUAUGUUUAUUCUGGGCAUUGUGUCUUUAAGCUAGUGUAUCACCCAAGUGUGACUUUAACUGCCCAGUAAAAGGCACUAAGGGGCUGUUCUAUACAGUCACCAAAAUGCCAUUAGUCUAUUCACAGCCUACCUACAUCAGUUGGUUUGGGCCUUAUCUCAGUUCCAGAUGCCAGGAUUUUACAAUCUCUGAUGGCUCCUUGUGAGCAUGGUAUCUGAAGUGUUUUCUGUACCAUGAUCUGUGCCCAGCCUUGUUCUCUCUGCCGCCCUCCCCUGCUCUCUGCACUAGCUUUCCACAGGAAGUGCAGCACCAAUUCAGCAGCAUGCUGGGAGGAGGAGGAGUUCAACAGGAAGUCAGUGACACUUCCUAAAGGCACAGAACUGCAGUCCCCAGGGACGGACAGCAAAUCUAACCAUCCAAUAUGUCAGAUCCUUUCCAGCCUUGGACCAGGUAUGGAGAAUCAAAGGCUUCCCAGACAUGGACCUGGUUUGCAGGAGGAAGCUGAGGCGUGGAAACGUAAAGCACUUUAGGAUAAGAAGAGGAAAGAGGAUUCGCAGUCACUUGCCAAGAGGACACCAUAUGUCCUGAGAGGUAAAUGUACUUCAGACGUGUUUGGAUGCUUAAAGAUGGGUCCCUCACUGCUGAGCAUGAAAACAUUCCUGAGGAAUAAGCCAAUACCAUCCUCUGCUGACCUCCCCAGGCCAUUACUCUUCCUUCCUCCUUUUCUCAGGAAGUUGAGUGUGAGGAAAGUUAAGCAGUGCUCCUGCCGUUUUCCCUCCGAGGUAUGUGAACAUGGUAACCCCAGUUUGGGGUUGCUGGAAAUAGGAAACUGAUCCUGAGAGUAGGGUGGGGCAGUCUCCGAAUAUCCUCACACCCUACAUGUUGCAAUUCCCCCAAAUAGUGACGGCUCCAAAGAUUUCUUUUCUGAGUAGAAGGAGCUCUGAUGAUAGUCACCUUAGACUUACUUAUUUCUUAUGAGUGCAUGCGUGCUAAGUCGUUUCAGUCAUGUCCAACAUUUUGUGACCUUAUGGACAGUAGACCACCAAGCUCCUCUGUCUGUGGGAUUCUCCAGGCAAGCAAACUGGAGUGGGUUGCCAUGUCCUUCUCCAGGGGAUUUUCCCAACCCAGUGAUCGAACUCAAGUCUCCUGCAACUCCUGCACUGCUGGUGGAUUCUUCACUGCUGAGCCACCAGGUAAGCCCAUUUAUUUCUUGCCACUGUUGAAUUUAUAAUCUCCAGAUAUCAGCACAAUUUAAGGAGGAUGGCAAAUAGAAAAGGAACUCUAUUUUAUGGCAUGAUGAUAUGGGCAGGAUCUCCACACUCUGGAUAGCUGGCAAAAGACAGCAAAUUAUGAUGGUAGGAAAGAAAAUGGAUUCCAGAACAGUGUCCCCAGCUUCUCCUUUCAUGAAGAUAGAAGAUUUAGCCUGGAUUGGAAAAAUCCAUCAUGCAUCUCAGAAUCCACCGAGUCUCUGGAGAUGGAAUAUUCUGCCUUCAUUCACUCCUCACUCAUGGAAACCUUGAUUUCUUUUUCAGACAAUAUGACAGCUCAUUUUUAUUUGGUGAGAACCUGAAUCUAUGAAAGACCAAAAAGAAGGAUAUGCUGGCUAUCAUCAUGGGUGAAAAGGAGAAGUAUAAAUGGGUUCCAUUUAUUUGAUUUUGGAUGAUAACACCCAAAUAAAGUCUUCUUGACUAAAGCCGGAAAUCCUCUU